CGCCUCCCUCCUCAGCACCGCGCAUGCCCGUACGGGCGGCGCCAGGACACCGCGCCUGCGCGCCGCCGUGCGGCGGCCGCCAUGCCGGAGGGGAAGGCAGCGUUCCGGGAGGUGCUGCCCAAGCAAGGGCAGCUGUCGGUGGAGGACGCGGCCGCCAUGGUGCUGUGCAAGCCCAAGGUGCUGCCCCUCAAGUCGGUGUCGCUGGAGAAGCUGGAGAAGCUGCAGCGGGCGGCGCUGGAGGCGGCGCGGCCGCCCGAGGGGGCACCGCCGACCCGGCCCUAGCCCUCGCCCCGGGGAGGGGCGGCGGGCACCGCGCCCUGCGGCGGCCGCACCCGCCACUCGGAGCUGACAGUUUUCCACGGUCACCUACAUGGAUCAUUGUGAUGCCUGAAUGUUCCACCUCAGUACUGUCCUGAUCUCUACCAGCAAAACAGAGGAGAGGCAGGUCUUCAUUCUCUGGAGAGCACACAGACGUGCUGCCUGGGACUCACCACAGGCUUACUUUCCUCAAGUAUUUAUCCCAGCCUCCACAUAACAGGUUUCACACCAGUGGAGCUUCUUAAUAAACUUCUUACCAGUCCAACCCUCUGUUUCUCCAUCCUCUAUAGUUUCCAGUUCCAAUCUGUAAUACUUUGGUUAUAAAAUCCUGCUUUCUGUUACCUACAAUGGGAACAAAAGGCAGUGCCUUCACCUAUCUACAAUAAAACAAGUACCUUGAAGGGCAGAGGUCUCUCAGUGGUUUGGAGAUUAUUCCAGCCUGAAAGCAUUCCUCUACAAACCGCUCAAGCACAGAAUAGGAGUGUGGCACAUCCAGGUUAAUAUCUGGGAUUUCACAGUAAACUCGUUCAUAGCCCUACAAUGUAAGAAUUCAAAUAAUGAUCUGGUUAUUCUAUGAUUUUAUAACAAAUUUUUUAAGUACCCUUUUGCACUCAGAGGAUUUAUUUUUCAAUAUAGUUUCAUCUAUACUAUGGACAGUUUCAACAACCUAAAGCAGAGCAGCUGCAAGUCAGUAGAAAAGGAAGGUAUACUACCAGCCACUACCAUGGUAUUACACAACUACCUAUCUACAUAAAAACACCAGGUGAAUUUUUAACUUCUUGAGAAGUCAGAAAUCCAGACAGUACAGAAUGUGUGUGGUAGCCUGGCUGCUAUUGCAUGGGUAGUAACACAAGGAAGAAAAGGUAAUUUUUCUUCCAUGUAAAUGAACAAAAUGUGGCCACAAAUCACCACAACAGUUUAUGCAGUAAGGGAAACACUAGUGACAACCAUAGAUGACUUCAUCACUUCCUGCCAGCAGUAUGGCUGGGUAAAUUUUGACACCAGUCUUUGUGUGGUACCUAGUUUGCCCUGGGACAGAACAGCUGUCUUAUAUUCAUACCUAGAAGCAAAGCCAUGGAUGAUCCCAACUGUGCAAAAUAUUAGCUGUUCUAAUUGAUGUGUAAUUAAGUCAGUCCUUAUUGUACUGCUUUAAUUAUGAAGAACUACUGGAUAAAAAGAAAAAAUUAUUUAAGAAAAAUGAAGCUAUAUUGCAGCAUUUUAAAUGAUUAGGUUUAACCACUUAAUUGCAUAAAAGCAGGUGGAAAUCUUUGACUGAAGAUUCAAAUAUUCUGUACCUCACAGUUCUACAGAGAGCUACUGCUCGGAAUUCAUUUGUACUUCUGCCAGUACAUGACAAGCAUUGUACAUACAUCAGUGACAAAUUAUUUGUACUGGAUACAGAAUAACCAUGGAGAACUUAAAAGCAGCAGUCAGCAAUAGAAUACAAACAGUACUUAAAAGAUGGUAAAAACUAGGCAAAUUUUGGAAGACCUUACCCAAAAUUCUCUAAAUGCCACACUUACUCUUUUCAUUUGGUCCAUAGUAAUGACAGAAGACCUCCAGAGAGACUUGAACAAAUCCAGUAUCAUUCUGAAGGUCUUUUCUCCAGUUGACUCCAAAACCAUCACAAUGGCCUAAAACAAAUCAUGCAGCUGUUUUAACUACAAAGAAAACAGUGGUUCAAGUACAUGUCAUAGAUUGCUCCUUCAAACUUCUCACCCUGACAUGGAAAACAAUUAUACUUCUUGAUGAAUAAAGCAUUACAGAGAAAGUCUGGGAAAGCACUGCACAAGCUUCAAACCUUUACAAGGCAAAACAGUUAAUCCCUUGUGUAUUUCACAACAUAUUCACAGCAGCUGUCCCGAUGCUAUAUUUACUCAUUAAUCACAUUAAAGCUUUUUCUAAAGACAAAACCUUCCAUAAUCACUUCUUGUUUCAGCUCAUUUUUUUUCACCCUCAACCAUAAGCUGGACAACAAACCUGACAAACUGAAGUCAAAUGUAUUAAUACAUUUUUCAGGCACUUUCAGUAUUUCUCCUCUGACCUGAGUCAUUCUGGAUUUUGUUGUUGCAAACUUUGUGGUUUUCUUUUUUAUCAUUUUAAAUUAAAAAAUAAGAAGUUAUAGAGAACCACAUGAUUUAUCCUGAAGUCCUAAAAUCCAAAUCAUCAUUUUUGGCAUUUGGAAUAGAAAACUGUAGCUAUAUAGAGAAAACAAGAAAGUUACCGAGCUUGGACGCAAUCCACAGUGCCUUUGUAGCCAUCUAUGUAGGUACUGCUUAAAAUCCCAUCUCCAACAGCUCUAGCAAUAAACUGGCCCACCAACUGCAUACAAAACAGAAGCAUUUUUAAUUAAAUGUUGAAUUUCAAAGUAGCUCUAAGUAGACAACUAUAAUGUGCUUGGUUUUCAAAUUUUAUUUAAAUGAGCCAUCUCAAAGUAAAAACACAGCCUAGGAAAUUGGUAGGAGAUUACAGACAGCAAGACAAUCCAAUUUUUCAAAAUAGAGUCUACUUUAGUUUACUUGAUUGAUUUUAGCCACAACUUAAAAGAAAAAGCUUUUGACUACUAGCAUAAAACUUUACAAAUAUACCUGUGGCGCCCUGGGAGAAUCCAACACCAAUUCAGGUAGUUCUUUAAGCAGUCUAUCAAAGGAUUUUUCCACAUCAGUUUUGCUUACUACUGUCCCACAAAGGUCAGAAAUAAGCUUAGAUGUCAUUUCCCGAUGACUAGCCUUCCCCUCUAAUGCCAAGGAAACAGCCAGCACUGGCACACUGUAUUUCAUUUCACCAAGGUUUAAAUCCUUCAGCAUCUCCUAAGUAAGAUUUGAAAAAACAAAACAGAUUAAGAUUUCAUAAUUUUUAUUAUAUCAAUAUAUAUUAUAUAAAUGUUACAAAUACAUAAAUAUUUAUAUGCUUGUGUUUAGAUUUACAUAUACACUUCUGCUCAUGUAAUGAAUAUAACUGCUUAGGUAUUCUUAUUGCACAUUUCUUGCCAACAUCUCUAUACACUUAUUUAUAGCCAGCAGUUGGAUCCCCUUGUACACUACAGGUUUGCCCCCUAAAAUAAAGAAGUAAAAAGGCAUGCAACAUACCGAAACUUCAUUAGUAUCUCCAUGUUCAAAAUACUCCUGUAUGAUUGGUGUUAAAGUUUUUUCAAAUGCUCUUUCAUCCAGAGGUAAAACUACUGUUUCAUAGACACAGUUCUCCUAUUUUAAAAGACAACAAAAGCAUAUACCCUUUUGUAAGCAGUACUGUCUCUUCUUACAUCUUUUGCAGUGCUAAUAGCAUCAAAAUAUAUCUUCUAAAUCCUUAAUGCUUUAGUCUUGGUAGUCAGUAUUCUGCCAGAAAACAUAAGAUUAUGUCUUAAAGUGCGGACAAUACUGGCUAAAUGUCAUGCUGCUUAUAUUGCUUUUAUUUUUAAUUUACUGUUAGCCGAGUUCAACUGAAAGGCUGAAUUUACUGUUACUAUAAACACUCCAAACUCUGUUCCUAGGAUUCUGCUGAUACCACAUGAACACAGAGUUCAGGUACCAAUGUAGUAUGUACUGAAGGGAGAGCAACAGAAGCUCCUGUCCCAGCCCAAGAGUUAGCUGUGCCACAGGACAAGAUGUAACUUUCAGCACCUUUCCCUGCAAAUGGCACUCCAGUCCCUGACAGCAAGCCUGCCUGCUUUCCCUCUUCCUUAGUGACUGCGGGACCAGACAGGCAAUAGCAUGUACAAAUCAGAGAAACAGCAUUUUCAGAAUAUUUGUGAGCGAAGACAUUCCCUAAGGGGGAAAAAAAAGAAUCACACAGCAACUGCCUCCUGUAUAACCUGGUCCUGCAGAGUUCCAGCACAACCAGAUCUCCCCACUGUAAUUCAGUUCCCUACUCCUCACAGACUACAGAAGUAACAUUCAGAGCAAUGCUACAGAUCACAGAAAUCUGAACAAAGAAGUUUUCCAACUAAUGCUUAUUGGAAGGAAGCUUUCCAUGAUCAAGAAGUAUAGCAGAAGUCCAAAAGCCUAUUAUUCCAUCACAUCAGUCUCCAUUUACAACCUUAGAAAAGCUAAGCAUACGGAAGUUCCACAGAAUAUUCAUUCUUCAAUAAACUUUCUUUUAUGCACUGAUCAGCUUCCUUUUUAAUAGCUAAUCUGUUAAUGUAAAGCAUUGCAUUGCAGGGAAAAAACUGAUACUGGAAGAAGGUUUUGAUAUUCCGACAUACCAUCCUCUCAGCAGCUAUGGCUACAGCAAACAGCCUCUGCUCAAAGGACACCACCAUCGCUCUGCUUAUGUUACACAGAAUUUACUUACGGUCUCACAAUUGUAUUGAUCUUAGAGACUUUAGUAAUAUGAGUUUGUAAUCGGUGUUUCCUUUCCUCAGUGACUUAAUGUUAUAAAGCACCCUUUCCCAGGAAGCUUUUUUUCCCCCCCCCCGAUAAUAUGGCUGUAAGAUAUCUUCCACAACAUAUUCUAAAUAAAUACAUGUAAACAAAAUA